rnacentral:tRNA from 1 species
UGCCCUGUGGUGUAACUGGCAACAUCUCCCGCUUUGAACGGGAAGAUCUAGGUUCAAACCCUGGCGGGGCAGCCA